AUGCGGGUGCCACCAUUCCUUCCUGAUGGGUGUCGGUGGUAUUCACCCCCCACCUCCCUCCGCGUGCCCGGGAAACCUGAGGACUCGUCCUGGCAGCAGCGUCGUCGGCGUCGCAUUCCUUCUUGGAGGUGCUGCUUGAUACGCGGCGGAUCGGAGCCUCGGUCUGUGGUAAUUUGUCUUCGGUGGGCGCCGCGGUGGCGGGUCAUCUGCGCUUUGCGGAGCUGCCGUGGUUGGCAUUUGUUUCUUCUUCUCUUUUUCUUGGUGUGUUGUGCUGCUCGCCACAGCGUUAUCUGUACUCGAUGUUGGUUGCUUUGGAAUACAAAACGGAAGGAAACCCUUUUUUGGUAA
rnacentral:rRNA from 1 species